CUCGCGCACAACAAACUGAAUUAAUGCCUCCAUGGCACAGGCAUAUCUGCUUCUCACUCGGCUUUUCAUAUUUCAUAAAUAUUUACUGUUAGGUUGUCAUGAUACAAAUAGGUUUAAUUAGCUCGUCAAGACUAACUAAUUGCAAGUCCAUGGCAUCACUAUCACUCGAGGAUGUUUGCUCAUCUGCUAAAUUGCUAUUUUCUCCAGUAUCAUCACCAACAUCAAGGUAGAUAUAAUCAGGAAUGCUUCC
rnacentral:misc_RNA from 1 species